GAUGAACGCUGGCGGCGUGCCUAAUACAUGCAAGUCGAGCGAACGGACGAGAAGCUUGCUUCUCUGAUGUUAGCGGCGGACGGGUGAGUAACACGUGGAUAACCUACCUAUAAGACUGGGAUAACUUCGGGAAACCGGAGCUAAUACCGGAUGAUAUUUUGAACCGCAUGGUUCAAAAGUGAAAGACGGUCUUGCUGUCACUUAUAGAUGGAUCCGCGCUGCAUUAGCUAGUUGGUAAGGUAACGGCUUACCAAGGCAACGAUGCAUAGCCGACCUGAGAGGGUGAUCGGCCACACUGGAACUGAGGCACGGUCCAGACUCCUACGGAGGGCAGCAGUAGGGAAUCUUCCGCAAUGGGCGAAAGCCUGACGGAGCAACACCGCGUGAGUGAUGAAGGUCUUCGGAUCGUAAAACUCUGUUAUUAGGGAAGAACAUAUGUGUAAGUAACUGUGCACAUCUUGACGGUACCUAAUCAGAAAGCCACGGCUAACUACGUG
rnacentral:rRNA from 1 species